rnacentral:lncRNA from 1 species
CUGCUGUGGAACAGGCAGGCUGCACUUAUGCUCCUCUUACUGACAUGGAAGCUAAAGCAAAAAGGAAAUUGUGCACCUGCUGAUAAUCCCCCCAAACUCCAAAGAAACAUUAUCAUAGACCUCAGAAGGCAAGAACAGCUGGAAAGGGGAAGGACAGUAAAGGAGUAGAUGUCAACUCAUAUAUGAAGCUGAGCAAAAUCAAGACCUUUGAAGCACAUAAAGGAGAAUAAAAGGUGACAAGGAACCA